rnacentral:lncRNA from 1 species
UAUAUAUAUCUCGAUAAAAGCGAUAAUGUUAUUUUCUAUAUCAUCAAAAUAGAAAACUUGAUAGAUCUUGAAUCACGAUAUAUUGCCCAGCUCUACUACAGUGAACUCCAGUGUAUUUGUUAUGUCAGUGUCUAUUAUGAUGUUGUCUAUAGAUGACUAACAUUGCACCAAUGGAAGUUAAUGAGCCACCACAAGAAAUAACUUGACUUUAUUUAUUCUUUUAUUUGUAACCUAGUUAUUCUUGCCUGUAGGUUGUUGUCAUCCCAAGGAUCAAAUUGGAUUUUCUGAUGGGUCAAAUUUGGCCAACAAACCUUAUUUUGGACACUCGUUUUCAUCUGGUUCAUCUGUAUAAAAGUUAUUAAUACUUACUACAUAACAGUUAACAAAACCAUCAUAGGCUAGCUUUGGAAACGCCUCCCAUAGGCGGAAGCCUUCCUAUUGGUCACUUACUCUAAGCCCCACCUUAUCACACACACACGCAGAGCUCUUGUCUUCUCAUUGGUUAAUGUGGCUGCUCGUCAUGCUGCGUACGUGUUGGGCGUCGGCGGUGAGUUUUCCGUUUGCUCUGUGAUUGGCUGCUGGUCAGCGGUGACGUCACAGUCCUGCCAGCUGAUCGCAGUGAGAAGCCGGUUUGAAGAAGGGCCGGAGAGAGGAGCGGUUUUAAAGCGUAACACGGGGGAAGCAGGAGGCGGCGGUCCCCAUCGGGCUGAACUUGCGGUGUUUCCUUUGAAAGUGUCUGGAGACAAAAUGACAGAAGAGAGAGUUAAGGUGUGGCUGAGGCUUUUCUCUUCAUGUUAAACCCUGAAUUAGAUCAGAAAACCCUUCAAGAGCCAACCAUUCAUCAGCAUAUACUCCUCCAUCUAUCGUAUCUCAAAGAGGACAUUCACACCGUUUCAUUUUGAAGACAUUACAUAACUAAUGUAAAGCCAUUUUGAUGCGCGCACCUUUUUUUUUCGUCUUCUUCUUUUGUUUUGUUUUUUUCCUCCACCCGAUCUGGGCUUUAAAUGAACUGUCAAUUCGCACAGCCAACGUGUUCCUUUUGGUAAUUUCACAGCGUGUGUGUGUGUGUGUGCUUUCAUAAGUCAGUGCAUUUGGGCGGACGUGGCAACUUUACAGUAGACAGCAGCAGUAGCAGCAAUGAGUGCUACAGGCAAACAGGGCGUGGGGUAGAACCGGGCUAAUAAUCCUCAGAUGUCUCCCAUGCUCGCUCCAUAUCAGCCUUUUCUCUUGUCCACAGUGACCAAUGAUGGCUUGAAUCGCUGGAUUAACGCCAAACAAAAGUAAGAGCGCUUGUCUGGUACAUUUUUGCAAACUUUUUUUCAGUCGAGGUGACGUUUAAAAGCUGCAGAAAGGAUCGGACAGCUGUGACACCACAGAGGUUUUUUUUUGUUUUUU